UACGUAGGGUGCAAGCGUUAAUCGGAAUUACUGGGCGUAAAGCGUGCGCAGGCGGUUUUAUAAGACAGGUGUGAAAUCCCCGGGCUCAACCUGGGAACUGCAUUUGUGACUGUAGAGCUGGAGUGCGGCAGAGGGGGAUGGAAUUCCGCGUGUAGCAGUGAAAUGCGUAGAUAUGCGGAGGAACACCGAUGGCGAAGGCAAUCCCCUGGGCCUGCACUGACGCUCAUGCACGAAAGCGUGGGGAGCAAACAGG
rnacentral:rRNA from 1 species